rnacentral:rRNA from 1 species
UACAGAGGUCUCAAGCGUUGUUCGGAUUCACUGGGCUUAAAGGGCGCGUAGGCGGGCGGUCAAGUCGGUGGUGAAAGCCUUCAGCUUAACUGGAGAAGUGCCGCCGAUACUGACUGCCUCGAGGGAGGUAGGGGCAUGUGGAACUCAGGGUGGAGCGGUGAAAUGCGUAGAUAUCCUGAGGAACGCCGGUGGCGAAAGCGACGUGCUGGACCUCUUCUGACGCUGAGGCGCGAAAGCCAGGGGAGCAAACGGG